UAACCAGUCAAGCAGUUCGGGAAAAUUAAUUCCGGUAUGGUUUCAGUUUUAUAUUAUGUAGCUGAGUACAUCGAUCCCGAAGUUAGUUUAGCGGCGGGAGAAAUAACGUUUGGCAUGAUUAGCAAGAACUGAAAAUGAAACGGAAGUAGAAACGAAGAGGUCACAAAGAAAAAUACACCGAAACAUUGAUGCUACAUCGAUGAGCUGUGUUAUGUGCAUUGUAUAAGAAAAAAGAAGCGGACUGGCGGCCGGAGGGUGAGGAUUGACAGGGAAUCAAACUUGGACUCCUGCAUAGCUUGUAAGCUGCUCUAAUCCACCCAUGCCGACAUCCCGGUCAGCACAAUCCAAACCACUAAGUGUAUCUGGUCACCAGCAAUUGGACCUGCCUGAGCUUCUUGUGUCUGAUCACCAGCAAUUGAACUUGCCUAUCUGCCAUUUUCAUCUAGUUGGAAAUGAUGUAGUUUACUCAAUGGUGUGUAGACUGUCAACAUGUGAAACCUACAUAGUCUCCUCUGUUAAAGAUCACUAAUGGUGGAUAAACAAUGAGUGAUGCAGACUGUUCACCAAAAGGGAGUUUUGACACCUGUAUGCCUAUAUUUCUACCAAUCACCCUGUUAUCUUUUUUGUCAUGUUCUUUGGACAGGUAAAAUAACAAGGUAAAACAAGUAGAAAGAAAAGGCUGGAGCAAAGAUGAGAAAAGCACCAUAUGCCAAGGGUUUGUAAGGAGAGUAGCAGAUCAGAAACCUUUGACUAGAGAAGAUGUGAAUGGAGACAGAUUCUGAUGAUGCCAUCAUUGGGAGGCAGGAUGACUAUAAGACACUAAUUCCUCAUCCAUAAAGAUUUCUACAAGUGGUUCAUUUGAAAUGAAUACAGAUUUCAUUACAAGACGUGUGCAUGGUGCAACAUCCUGGAUGGUGUGUAGUAUGUUUGUUAACAUGUGAAGCCUACGUGUAUUUCAGGGAGUUGUCUCCCAUGUUUAAGAUCAGUAAUGGCGGAUAUACAAUGCAGUAUGCUGUCUGGUCAUCAACAGAGAGUUUUGACACCCGUAUUUCUACCAAUCACCUCUGUAACCUUUGUUGUAUUCAUCAGAUAGAUUCACCAGAUGCAGCUGCUCCAUCUCCAUCACUGGUGAAAUGGGAAAUGACUAGUGGACGGUCAUCACUUUGUAACUCACCAUUUUGCAGCCCAUCUCUUCUCAUCUUCAGUGGUGGCCUCUGGAGGAAUGGUUGCAGUGCAGUCUUCGUGUCUUAGGCAGAUAACUUCCUUUCCUUUGCUUCUCAGAAUGAGACACAAGUGCCUUCCAUUUGUGAUACUAAAGGAAGCUGUUACAAAUUUAGUUUGCCACAGUACUGGCCUGACAUAUGAGGACAGGAAUAAAAGAUGUUUUAAAAUAGAAAUGUCUAUAAUUUAACUUAUAAGUAUGAUUAACUAAGAUCACAAACAACAAAUCAGUUGCAUUGCAAAUGUACAUAUAGCAUGUUUGCACUUACGAGGGAAUAUUCACUCCCUUUCAGUGAAAGUGUUGGCAUGCAGGUCAAUUAUUGUCACCAAAUCAUCUGUCAUAUUCUCUGCAUGCAGCUGUAGAAUUUGAUCAGAAAGAUUAGCUACACUAUUCUAUGUAUAAGUCUUAUGUAUAAAUCUAAGACAUUUUGGUUUCUAGUCACCAGUCUAUAUUUAUAAUCAUUGUAGUGUAAAAAAAUUCAGGUCCAUAAGUCGAUUGAGACUUCAUGUUUUAGUGAAAUGUUUUGUUUAUUUAUUGCCAACUCGCUGUAAAUCAAAUGUAGUUAAAAAUUUCAGCACUUUCAUUGUGUUUAUGCAAUUUAUUGUUCUUCAAUGUCAGUGACAUGUAUAUCAUUUUAUGAUGCACAAUCAGUAUUAUUGUACUAGAUUUAUACUUGUCUCUUAUUGAUCUGCAUUUUUUGGGGCUAAUUAAUGUUUAAAUCCUACUGUGAACGUCUUCUUUUCACUUGGUGCCAGUGCUUGAAAGAAACCAGCCUGUCAAUAAUUUUUAAGAAGAUGCUGAGAUUAGCUUUACAUCGUAAAACAAACUGAACACUGUAUAUAGUAUAGCAUAUCAUUGUUAAAGAUGUAUGUGUGCAUGUGUGUUGUAUUGUAGAUAUAAUUCUUGUAUUACAUCAUGUAUAUUUCAUAGAAGAUUUUGUUAGAAGCUCUGUUUUCAUAAUUUAAUUAUUUUCAUGUACAUAAAGACUUUGAUCGUUUGUUUGUUUGUUUGUUGUUUAACGUCCCUCUUGAGAAUUUUUCACUGAUAUGGAGACGCCACCACUUGCUGGUGGAGAGCUGCAAAUUUUGACCUAUACUCAGCACUCGGGGCCAUUGAGCAGUGAGGGAUCUUUUUUGUGUCAGCACCUACUGUAUCACAGGACCUUGGUUUAUACAGUCUCAUCCGAAGGACUGGUAUCCACGUCCCACAGUGGGAUUCGAACCCAUGACGUAAGGAUCAACUCCUUACUUUGUGACUCUAGAGCGGACGCUCUUACUACUGUGCCACAUGGGCAACUUUGUUCAAGGAAAUUGGCUGAAGCAUUUAACACGAAAUUCUACUGAUUUUAGGCCUAUAUAAUCCAUUCUAAUGAAAGAUCUAGAAGUGUACACAGAGAACAUUGUGCUGUAGAUUUUAUUAUUAUACCUCUACUGUUAUUACUCUAUAUAAAAUUAAUACCAUAAAACUGUCUAUUUCCCUGAGAAGAUACUAUUUCCCUCAUCUGAGGACUACUCCCUGAAAAAUCGGAGCUACUCCCUGGGACUACUCCCUCAUGAAUAUUAAUAAUUUAACCAAUUAAAAUGAACAGUGGGCGGAGCAUUCAAGGAAUCUCGAGUCUGUGACGUAAUGUUAUUAGCAAUGUAAGUAUGACGUCAAAACAUUUCGACAUGCGAUGUCAAAAUCAUACUGAAAUAUUCUAGCAAAAUGAAGGCAACAAUAAUCCUUCGAAGUGUCAGUGAAAUUAUUUUAUAUUUUUUUUUAAUAAUUCUAUUUUCCUCGGUAUUGAUGCAUUAGUUAUCUUACAAUAUUUUUGAUCAUAUGCAAUUGUGAUUAUUUAAAUACCUCUGUAUUGUUUUUAAAAAUGUCUGAGUCUCUAGUUUAAUAAAUCUCCCAUGAUUGUUUCGGUAUAAUAAAACAGUUAUGGAAUGGGUACUUGGGAAAUAUCAAAUUUAUGGUUCCCCUCGGUAGGAAACUGUUUCCCUCGGCGGCUUCGCUGCCUCGGGAAAUAGUUUCCUCCCUUGGGGAACCAUAAAUUUGCUAUUUCCCUCAUACCCAUUCCAUAACUGUAUAAUAUUAUGUUGUUUAUUAUUUGAAGAAUUUGAUGUAACCUCAGUCACAUUACUACAUGUUUGUUAGAUUAUAUUUUGCUUCAUUAAGAACCUAGACUGGGGGAUUAAGGGAACUCUAAGUACAGUUGAACUUCAGUAUUUUGAACACUGAUAUCUCAAAUACCAUGGAUAAUUCAAAGUGAUUUGGAAGUUUCAGUCACUUUUUUGUAUUUAUAUUUCAUCAUUGGUCUCUCAAUUCCUCCAAGUUUCUUCUCAGUUCCGUUGAGUCCGAGGUAUCAAAGUUUGACUGUAAUUUCAUUGUUUUAGGCCUUUAUAAUUCACUUGAUGAAUGAUGUAGUAAUGUACACAGAGAAUACAAAACGGAUUGAAAGCAAUAAAGUUAUGAACUUCUGUA